rnacentral:rRNA from 1 species
AUUGAACGCUGGCGGCAGGCCUAACACAUGCAAGUCGAGCGAGCGGCGGACGGGUGAGUAAUGCCUAGGAAUCUGCCUGGUGGAGGGGGAUAACGACUGGAAACGGGAGCUAAUACCGCAUACCAUCAGAUGUGCCUAGAUGGGAUUAGCUAGUUGGUGGGGUAAAGGCUUACCUAGGCGACGAUCCGUAGCUGGUCUGAGAGGAUGACCAGCCACACUGGAACUGAGACACGGUCCAGACUCCUACGGGAGGCAGCAGUGGGGAAUAUUGGACAAUGGGCGAAAGCCUGAUGCAGCCAUGCCGCGUGUAUGAAGAAGGCCUUCGGGUUGUAAAGUACUUUCAGUGGGGAGGCGUUACCAGCAGAAGAAGCACCGGCUAACUCCGUGCCAGCAGCCGCGGUAAUAC